rnacentral:rRNA from 1 species
AUUCCAGCUCCAAUAGCGUAUAUUUAAGUUGUUGCAGUUAAAAAGCUCGUAGUUGGAUUUCGGGUGAGGAUGACCGGCCUGCCGUUGCGGUACGCACUGGACGUUUUCAUCUUGUUGUCGGGGACGCGCUUCUGGGCUUCACUGUUCGGGACGCGGAGUCGGCGCUGUUACUUUGAAAAAAUUAGAGUGUUCAAAGCAGGCAAUCGCUCUGAAUACAUUAGCAUGGAAUAACGCUAUAGGACUCUGGUCCUAUUGUGUUGGUCUUCGGGACCGGAGUAAUGAUUAAGAGGGACAGUUGGGGGCAUUCGUAUUUCAUUGUCAGAGGUGAAAUUCUCAGACCAGCGGAAGACGAACCACUGCGAAAGCAUUUGCCAGGGAUGUUUUCAUUG